rnacentral:sRNA from 2 species
GGCCGCAAGUUCGCAAUUUUGAACGCACUUCUCCCUCCUUUAUUUUGCCCAUAUUGAUUAAUUUAGAGAAUACGGCGUACCCUUUGGAGAAAAAGGCUCUUUUGCAUUAUCAUCUAUUUGAGAUAUGAGGCGCAAUAUGGAUACUUUACCUAUUUCUGAGAUUGAACGUUGUCAAAAACGGUUACCCUGACUCUCAAAUUCCUCGCCUUUUCCUUCUCUGCAAUGGGAUUCGGUACAAUUUGUGUUUUUCUUUUCGCAGGUAAUUUGAAUCACUCUAUCAAUGUCUCCAAAUUUUGGUUUCAGCCUCCAAUCGCAUGUUUUCUCGAUGCCAUCCCAGCUUAUUGACAGAUUCGUCAAGAUGGCAUCUAUUGCGCAGAACACACCCUAGUCAAUCCCUAACCCUGAAUAUAUCUAACUCCGGCGGAUAGGGAUUAAUUGGCGCAUGCAGAGGGUUGGCUGACGCCGAAUGCUCUACCACAAUCGUUUUGCGGGGAGCUAGUAGAGGUUUUAGAACCGUCAUUUGAUAUGGCGGAUAUAUAUACAUAGAUAGAAGACAAGCCC